rnacentral:rRNA from 1 species
GACGAACGCUGGCGGCGUGCUUAACACAUGCAAGUCGAACGGAAAGGCCUCUUUCGGGGGGUACUCGAGUGACGAACGGGUGAGUAACACGUGAGUAACCUGCCCUUGACUUUGGGAUAACUUCAGGAAACUGGGGCUAAUACCGGAUAGGAGCUCCUGCUGCAUGGUGGGGGUUGGAAAGUUUCGGCGGUUGGGGAUGGACUCGCGGCUUAUCAGCUUGUUGGUGGGGUAGUGGCUUACCAAGGCUUUGACGGGUAGCCGGCCUGAGAGGGUGACCGGCCACAUUGGGACUGAGAUACGGCCCAGACUCCUACGGGAGGCAGCAGUGGGGAAUAUUGCACAAUGGGUGGAAGCCUGAUGCAGCAACGCCGUGUGCGGGAUGACGGCCUUCGGGUUGUAAACCGCUUUCGCUCAUGACGAAGCUUUGUGUGACGGUAGUGGGUAAAGAAGCACCGGCUAACUACGUG